rnacentral:rRNA from 1 species
CCUACGGGUGGCAGCAGUAGGGAAUAUUGCUCAAUGGGGGAAAGCCUGAAGCAGCAACGCCGCGUGGAGGAUGAAGGUUUUCGGAUUGUAAACUCCUUUUGUUAGAGAAGAUAAUGACGGUAUCUAACGAAUAAGCACCGGCUAACUCCGUGCCAGCAGACGCGGUAAUACGGAGGGUGCAAGCGGUACUCGGAAACACUGGGCGUAAAGAGCGCGUAGGCGGGAUAGCAAGUCAGAUGUUAAAUCCUAUGGCGUAACCAUAGAACUGAAUUUGAAACUGUUAUUCUAGAGUAUGGGAGAGGUAGGUGGAAUUCUUGGGGUAGGGGUAAAAUCCGUAGAGAUCAAGAGGAAUACUCAUUGCGAAGGCGACCUGCUAGAACAUAACUGACGCUGAUGCGCGAAAGCGUGGGGAGCAAACAGGAUUAGAUACCCCAGUAGUC